AGGGCAGGGACUGGCUGGCUCAGGGGGGCGGGGAAUGGGGCAGGGGCCUGUCCCCUCUAGGGGGCACCGGCUCCCACUCGCCCCCAGGGUGGGGACAGGCUGGCUCAGGGGGACAGGGGACGGGGCACGGGCUGUCGCACGAGAGAGUGAUCCCACACCGGUGGGAGAAGGCCGGGCACAGCAAACAUCCCGUGACCCGGGGGCACAGUAUGACGCGCCCUGGCACCACCCGCAGGCAGGGCAGGAAAGCCCCGUGUGGCCACAUGCGUUGGUGUUGUGCAAUGAACUGCCAAGUGUGUGACCGGCUGUUGAUGCCAGGCCCGGGGUGGGCGUGGGGGAACCCAUGGGGACAUGCUGCUGUCACUUGGAUAAGGCCAGAGCACAAAGUGUGCCCAUUGGCUGAGGAGGCCUGGGUGAGCACAAGAGAAAGUUCAAGUGGGCGUGUGCACUAGUGUGCGAGGGCCAAGGCACAAGGAGAGUGUGCAAGAGGCGAUGGGCACACGGGGGGGUAGGAGAUGUGCAAGGCAUUGCACAUGCCGGCGAGAGCAGUUGUAGAUCUUGAGCCAUGCAAGGGGAGAGAGCAGCAGCCAGGAUCACCAGGGAACGUGCGAGAGACGUGCAGUGUCAGCAGGCAGGCCUGGCACAGAAGCAUGAGAUUGCAGCAGCACUCGUGGAGGAUCACAAGCGUGUGCAAGACACAGGACACACCCAGUGUCACCUGUGAGGUGCGAGCUGCAUGCACACAACUGACCCUAGUCACAUGCCAGGGUAGGAGUGGGGGAGAUGCUAAGCACGUGCCCACUCUGUUCUGAGGCAAGGACAUUUGUGUGCACACUCCCACAAGCACAAGAUUGCACACGCUUGUGGGUGCAUCACUGCUCACACUCGAGGGGCCAACAGUGCACGAGUGGAUUAGCAGGUAAGCUCAUUGCAGGCCACACAACCCAGGCAUGUAUGAGGUCACAAGUGCACUGCAUGCACAAUCACAGGCACCUGCACAGGGUCAGAAGGGCAUGCACGGGGUCCCAAGCACACUGCACACAACAUCACAAGUGCACGUGCUGGAUCACAAACACACUGCAUGCACAACCACAAGUGCACAUGCCAAAUUACACGUACACUGCAUUGAAAAAUCACAAUGCACAUGCCGGAUCACAAGUGCACGAUCACCAGUGCACCCACAUGCAAAAUCACAAGCGCACGCACAGGAUCACAAGCGCAUGCACAGGUUCACAAGUGUACCUGCUUGCAAAAUCACAAGUGCAUGAUCACAAGCGCACUGCAUGUAAAAUCACAAGUGCACGUGCCAGAUACCAAGCACACAAUCACAAGUGCACCCACAUGCAAAAUCACAAGUGCGUGCACAGGGUCUCAAAUGGGGCCCAGCGCAUUAGCGGGGCCCCCUCAGCCGACCAGGUGACAGGAGCCACUGGAUUGGGAGUCACACUCAGAGUGCCUGGGCAGGGGGCAUAGGAGGGCCGGCGGGGGGCUCGGGUCCACACCCCCCCCCCCACAGGACAGCAGUCACAAAGGUCCAAUAUAGUUUUUAUAGAGCGAUCUCGAGAGAACCAUUUCCAGCGCCAAAAACGUCUCUAUAUAUUAAAAAGAUCAUUCACUUUUCUCUCAGAAAAAUACUGCCAGCGCGGCCCCUUGUUCUGGGGGGCGGGAUGGGGACGAAGCGUGGCCCCCCCAAAACCAGGAGGGGGCAUGAAGCUGAGUGAGGGGAUAUUUGUCCGAAGCGGCAGUGGGGUGUGUGUGAUCUCCCACGGGGGGGCGCCCCAGGGGAGGAGCUAGCUGGUUAAAUGGGGGGUUGAGAUGGCCAAGAUUUUGGCAGCAGCGGUUGGGGGCGGCCUGGGGCUGGAAAAGGAUCCGGAGUGGAGAGGAAACUGACAAAGAAAUUAGCAAAUGGUGGGGCAGGAGGGAGCCAGGACUCCUGGGUUCUCUCCCCAGCUCUGGGAGGGGAGUGGGGGCUGGUGGGUCAGAGCAGGGGGUCCGGGAGCCAGGACUUCUGGGUUCUCUCCCUGGCUGUGGGAUGAGAGUGGGGGCUGGUGGGUUAGAGCAGGGGGGGGCUGGGAGCCAG